rnacentral:tRNA from 1 species
AUUUUUAUAGCUUAAGUAGAGCGUUGGUUUGUAAAACCAAAGGUAGUAGUACUU